rnacentral:rRNA from 1 species
UACGGGGGGAGCAAGCGUUGUUCGGAUUUACUGGGCGUAAAGGGCGCGUAGGCGGUCAGCACAAGUCAGUUGUGAAAUCUCCGAGCUUAACUCGGAACGGUCAACUGAUACUGUGCGACUAGAGUGCAGAAGGGGCAACUGGAAUUCUUGGUGUAGCGGUGAAAUGCGUAGAUAUCAAGAGGAACACCUGCGGCGAAGGCGGGUUGCUGGGCUGACACUGACGCUGAUGCGCGAAAGCCAGGGGAGCGAACGGG